AUUGUGAUGUUUUUAUCAGCUGUUUGGACUCUCAUUCUGACGGCACCCAUUCACUGCAGAGCACCCAUUGCUGAGACACUGAUGCAAUGCUACAUUUCUACAAACCUGAUGAAGAAACAAACUCAUCCACAUCUCAGAUGGUCUGAGGUAAGUUUUGCAUGGCUGCAAAUUUCUCACACACAUUUCUCGUGAGCAUAAAGAGCGUGACGGCUCUCGGUGUGGAGCGGCGCUGCUGCUGAUUGAUGAAGCGGGAGCUGUUAGCUGGAGAAUGAUGUUUGUUGGCUGGCUGUGGUCACGUCCAUCUGUGGAUAAUUCACCUGGAGAGAUUCCAGGUCUGUUACAAUGAUGCACUUAAACCUGUUAAGCUCCAAAUCCCAAAUCCAGGACACUCAAUAGCUCAGAGAGUCCGUCUGAUACCUCACACUCCACUGUCACAGCACUCCUCUUUAACUCCACACGAGUCAAUACUGCGGCGCCACUCGGACAGACCUCCAUCACUCAUGAUCUGACGCUCUGCUCGCUCCGUCUUCUGCCAUGUGUGUGGAACAUUAGACGCUCUUUCCUGUGUGGACCGUCCUUCCGUUCUCAUGCUCUGAGCUCAGGAAUCGAUGCAUUAGUUAGACAUGCCAGAAAACACUUAAA
ensembl:lncRNA